rnacentral:rRNA from 1 species
AACGAACGCUGGCGGCAUGCCUAACACAUGCAAGUCGAACGAGAUCUUCGGGUCUAGUGGCGCACGGGUGCGUAACGCGUGGGAAUCUGCCCUUUGGUUCGGAAUAACAGUUGGAAACGCCUGCUAAUACCGGAUGAUGACGAAAGUCCAAAGAUUUAUCGCCAGAGGAUGAGCCCGCGUAGGAUUAGCUAGUUGGUGUGGUAAUGGCGCACCAAGGCGACGAUCCUUAGCUGGUCUGAGAGGAUGAUCAGCCACACUGGGACUGAGACACGGCCCAGACUCCUACGGGAGGCAGCAGUGGGGAAUAUUGGACAAUGGGCGAAAGCCUGAUCCAGCAAUGCCGCGUGAGUGAUGAAGGCCUUAGGGUUGUAAAGCUCUUUUACCCGGGAUGAUAAUGACAGUACCGGGAGAAUAAGCUCCAGCUAACUCCGUGCCAGCCGCCGCAGUAA